GAAUCUUCCGCAAUGGACGAAAGUCUGACGGAGCAACGCCGCGUGAGUGAUGAAGGUUUUCGGAUCGUAAAGCUCUGUUGCCAGGGAAGAACACUUAGGAGAGUAACUGCUCUUAAGGUGACGGUACCUGAGAAGAGAGCCCCGGCUAACUCGGUGCCAGGCACCGCGGUAAUACGUAGGGGGGAAGCGUUGUCCGGAAUUAUUGGGCGUAAAGCGCGCGCAGGCGGUCAUUUAAGUUUGGUGUUUAAUUCCAGGGCUCAACCCUGGGUCGCGCUGAAAACUGGGUGACUUGAGUACAGAAGAGGAGAGUGGAAUUCCACGUGUAGCGGUGAAAUGCGUAGAUAUGUGGAGGAACACCAGUGGCGAAGGCGACUCUCUGGGCUGUAACUGACGCUGAGGCGCGAAAGCGUGGGUAGCAAACA
rnacentral:rRNA from 1 species